rnacentral:rRNA from 1 species
UACGUAGGGUGCGAGCGUUGUCCGGAAUUACUGGGCGUAAAGAGCUCGUAGGUGGUUUGUCGCGUUGUUCGUGAAAACCGGGGGCUUAACCCUCGGCGUGCGGGCGAUACGGGCAGACUUGAGUACUGCAGGGGAGACUGGAAUUCCUGGUGUAGCGGUGGAAUGCGCAGAUAUCAGGAGGAAUACCGAUGGCGAAGGCAGGUCUCUGGGCUAUAACUGACGCUCAUGCACGAAAGCGUGGGGAGCAAACAGG